UCGACUAGUGAAACUCUUAGCCGAUCUGAGUACUAGGCUUUAAAACCAAAUUUUUUUGCUUUCUUGUACAGAAAACUACCAUUUCAGAUGGUGAGCUUAGUUGACCUUAAAAAAGUCCACCCUAAUGUAAAUAAAGUAAAUCCAGCCUAAGUUUAAUAAUUUGAAAAUCUUGCAAAAUUUUAGAGGGUUCAUCCAACCAGCUACUCAGAGUAUGAAAGUAAAAAAGUAAAAACUGUUGUGGAACAUUCAAAGGAAUCAAAAGAAUCAAGGUCGUAUUUCAUUUUCCUGGGUUCAACACAAGUCAAUCAGAAAAUUUGCGAUUAAAUCGUGCCGGAAAUGUUGCCAAUUUAUUACGUCGAAAAGACAUCUUUUUAGGAGCAGUUGGUGGACGUCCCGUUAAUAUGCCGUACUGAAAAACUAUUAGGUCGAUGUUGGAUAAACGCCGAUUUGAAUAUGAACAAGAUAUUAAUUAUAUUCCUUUUGUUUGCAUAACAGCUGAUAUAUGAAGCGCCAACAACAAAAGUUUUUUAAUGUCACCGGGCAUCAUAUCGAUUCCAAUUUAGAGAGGCAUGCGGUUGUUUCUGGCUUAUUAAAGAGUACGUUUUUCUUGUACACAUAAAUGAAUUGGAAAAACA